AUUCUACACUCCCUGGCCUUCCUUGUCCAGAGGCUUCUUCCUAAGAACUCAGUGCCAGGAUUUUGAGUAGCACUGGAUAUUCUGUGCAAUGGGUUCGUUCAUCCAAUUUCCACCACUUUACAGAUGAACUGGGGAUCAGAGAAGGCAAGCCACCUCCCCAAGGUCACACAGCUUGUGAGAGCAAGACAACAGCAUCGAGGCCUAUGUAAUAGCAGAGCCAUUGCUUCUUUGGCUCUGCGGAAGCUUGUAUUGUGGUAUAUCUGUGGUGUAGCUUUGCUGUCUCCUGUGUCAAUGUCAGGAGGACAGGCUGAGCUCCUGGGACCAGAACCCCUCAGAUUCCAGGAGGAGCAGAGAAAGCACAGAUGGCCUGGAGAGUCCCAGGGGUGAGGCCAGCAAGUACUUUCUUCCCCCAGGUGCUCAGAGCAUCCUCUGAGUUGCCAAACAGACUCCCAGAGGGGUCAACUGUGGGCCCUAAACCAGACAGCAGCUGGGAAGCAGGCUCUCAGGGGAACUGGGGUCUCACCAGCUCAGGAGCAGGCCAGGACUCCUCAGCACAGAAGCUGGGAAUCUUGAGUGUCCAGAUCAGCCUGAAAAUCUGGACUUGGGAAAAGCCAUCUGGCUGGGGCCACCUGCAUGCCGCUGUGACUGGGGCAUCCUGCUGCUCUCCUCUCUCACAAGGUGGUGCCAUCUGCCUUGUCACUGCUCCUCAGGACAAGCCUGACUGCUCUCCCUGCACCUCUGGCCAUUGAGAAUCCGGCUGCUCCAUCGUGGUGGAAAAUCUUCCAUGCUCAGAGGGACACCUUCCGACACUGGGGUUCUGGAGAGCCUGGUGCCACGAGACAAGGAGCCAUGUGACAAGAGGGGGAGGGGUAGGAGUGGGAGACACAAGUGUGGUUUGGGACAAAAUAGGGCCUGAGGCUCACGUGUUAUAAAACCCCCUUUGCUCUGCCUGUCUCCUUGAAUUGUGGCCAGUUUCACAUGGGAAGCAACGUCGAGGGACAGGGAGACUGCAGGUGAGGCCUCAGGGCUCUGCAUUCCCAUCCCCAAAAGUCACCAGCGUGUGGCCUUGUGGGUGUCACUCCCCUCUGUGGAGUCAACUUUGUGCAGUGACAUGCAGAGGCUGGACUGCUGCCACCUCAUGCCCCUCCUGGCAUGAUGGUCGCAUGAGGCUGAGUGAUUUGCAGGUCUAUGGGGAAACCCGCCUCAGAGAUGUGGAGGAGAAGCCAGGCAGAGCGCUGUUCAUUCCAUUUCUUUCUUUUUUUAAUCUAAAGGAGGGAAAGAGCUUUAUUAACUCAAACAAAGGGAUGCCAUACAACUUCCCAACGAUACUGUGCAGUGAUGGUAUUAGCUUCCACCUGUUCUUCCAUUCUGGGGGCAGGGUGUGAGGACUGGCUGCUCUGGGAGACGCUCUGAGCUGAGAGAGAAGAAAUAGCUAUGCUAAUAGCUGCCCCUUACUGAGUGCUCACUCUGUGUCCGGGGCUACACCGAGUGCUUGCAGCGGGUUCUCAGGCGCACUUAGAACAGCACUGUGAGAAAGGCACUUUUGCUGCCCCUUGUGUACAGAUGAGGACAAAGAGGGACAGAGAGGUUUAGAACCUUGACCUAUAUCACACAGCCAGUGAGCAGACGACCGGAAUUUGAAUCCUGCAAUCUCUCUGCAGAGCCUGCGCAUUUAAUACCACACACAGUUCUGGCCUGCAGUGAAUUUGGUUGUUCUUCCUGCCUGGGGUGGUCAGUUUCCAAGCCUUUCCAGAUGGACUUCUGCAGCCCAAAGCUGCGUGCUCCCCGUGCAGGCCCUUGUCAGAGCAGAGAAAGAUGGCUGAAGUUGUUGUCCAUCUAGAUUUUUAUCUUCAAAACAUUGCUGAAAUCAAUCUCUCUUCUACCGUCUCCGAUUUCCUUUGUCCUUAUGGGUGGUCUACAACUUUACUAUCAUUUUAGUGGAUGCAAGAGGAGUGGAGAUAAACACGUGUUCAGCCUGCUGUGAAUCUCUGCAGUGGCUAUGUUGUUUCUUAAACAGAUGUAAUGAGGCAUCUAUUCCCUGUGUGCCAUGUGCCCCUUGAGUAGGGGACAUCUGUUUUGUGUUGUCUGUGUCUCCAGCAUUAGAAUGGAACCUGGCACACAAUAGAGGCUCAAUUAGUAUUUGUUGAAUAAAUGAACAUUAAGAAACAGAAAAGAAAAAAAAAAAA
rnacentral:lncRNA from 1 species